rnacentral:rRNA from 1 species
AACGAACGCUGGCGGCAGGCUUAACACAUGCAAGUUGAACGCGUGUAGCAAUACACGAGUAGCGCACGGGUGCGUAACGCGUGGGAACCUUCCUCGUAGUUAGGAAUAACUCAGGGAAACUUGAGCUAAUACCGAAUGCCUCCUCCGGGAGAAAGAUUUAUCGCUACGUGAUGGGCCCGCGUCAGAUUAGGUAGUUGGUAGGGUAACGGCCUACCAAGCCGACGAUCUGUAGCUGGUCUGAGAGGAUGAUCAGCCACACUGGGACUGAGACACGGCCCAGACUCCUACGGGAGGCAGCAGUGGGGAAUAUUGGACAAUGGGGGCAACCCUGAUCCAGCCAUGCCGCGUGAGUGAAGAAGGCCUUCGGGUUGUAAAGCUCUUUCGACGGGGACGAUGAUGACGGUACCCGUAUAAGAAGCCCCGGCUAACUUCGUGCCAGCAGCCGCAGUAA